ACCUUGAAGUGCCAGGAGUAACAAUGGAGACAUCUCUGAGCAAGCAAGAAUUGUCAUCUCAUGAUGGCUCAACUUUGGAGAUGGCCGCCCUCGGCCGACCUUUCCAGGUAGGGAUGCUCUAUGACUGUCGCACUGAUUCACUCAUUCCAGAUGUCACUCUAUGGGACUUGGAAAACCUCAAGAAAGACCUCAAAAUUAAACCUCAGAAGGACACGCAGGUCAACAUCAUCACUUUGGACUCCUUCGAUGAGAAAACUUCCAUCUUAAAUAUGACAGCCUCCCUUAAAGCGAGCUUCUUGUGUGGCUUGAUUGAGGUUGACGGAGCAGCCAAGUACCUCAAUGACACCAAACCAUCCAAACGACAGUCCAGGGUCACCAUGCACUACAGCACAACCACCAGAAUGGAGCAGCUCAGCAUGAGCCACUUGGGUAAUCAGAACGUCGUCUAUCCAGAAGUGUUUGAGCAGAAAUCAGCCACCCAUGUUGUCACAGGCGUGUUGUAUGGCGCUCAGGCUUUUUUUGUUUUUGAUGAAUGGGAGUCUAAAUUGAAAAUGAACCGAGUUAAUGAAGGAAAAUUAGAAACAUUAAUUAAAAAAUAUAUUUCCGUAGAUGGAAAAAGAGACCUAAAAAUGACAGAUGCUGACAAGGAAACCGCUGACCAUCUUAACUUCACAUUCUAUGGUGAUUUUCUCCUUGAUCACAAUCCUACAAGCUUUCAGGAUGCCAUGCAGAUUUACAACAAUUUGCCAAAGCAUAUUGACAAAGAUGACAAGCAAACUGUACCCGUCCAGGUCUGGUUGUACCCACUGAAACAUCUUGACUCACAGGCUGCUCAGCUGGUACAAGAGAUCAGUGUGGCACUCGUGUCCAAAUCUCAGGAGGUCCUGGAGGAAUUAGACGAGCACAUUAUGAGGUGUAAUGACAUCAUGAAGGACGGUGUUGUCAAUAACUUUCCUUUAAUUAAGAAAAAUGCAGAUGACUUCAAAUCAAUGCUUAAUCAAUUUAAAUAUACCUUCCAGAAAGAACUGGCAUGGGUCUUAUCAAAUAUUAGGGGGGGUGACGCAAGUGAAGAAGAGCUGGACAACAUUCUGAAGAAGAAGGAAGAGUCGCCAUUUAAGAAGUGCAUCAUAACAACAUGGCUGGAUAAAAGAGAAAAGGAAAUCACUAUGCUCAGAAUUUUCUUUAAUCGAAUCAAAGGAAUUAAACUUGAUGUUGUUAUAAAUGACCUGGAUACACUAAUUUACAAUACUAGUGUUAAACAUAUUGUCUGCUUGACUUUCACUUCACUCGAUGUGUGUCGCUCAUACAUGUCAGAAAUGGAACGCUAUCUUCAAGCCCCUUCAAGGAAGUCCUCAUAUCUUCUGUCGGAGCCAAGUGAAGAGUUAAUCAUCCAGAAUUUCAGAAAGCAUUCCCAGCGUUUCAUCGAGUUUGCUGAAAUUAACCAAAGUAGCAAGACAACGAGAUUUCUCGUGCGGUCAAAGGUUGAUGUUGAAUAUGUUGGGGCAACAAUCUAUUUGUAUAAAUGUGGGGAUCUCAUCAACCACAACUUUCAGCUUCCACCGAAACCUGAGACGCUUGUGGUUUACUUCAUAACAGACGACAGUGUAACCCUAAAGUUUAGACAACCAAAGUGUGACUUAGAAGGGUACAGAGUGGAGUAUAAGCGACUAGAAGAUAAUGAGUGGAAGACUGUGAACACAACUAAUGAAAUUGUACCAACUGAUAAAAGUGUAAAAUUUACCAUCCCAGAGUUACAUCCAGCAUCAACAUAUCAACUCAGACACAGAGCCGUUUGUCAAGUUGGUGUGAGUCAGGCCAGUGAUACGAUUGAAGUGAGGACACUGCCCGUUAAAAGGCCUCCUGGAAGACAUACUAUAAAAGACAAAUGUAAGGAGAUAAAAGGUGGAAAAUUAAGACUUUAUUUUUUGCCUUUGAAAUCACAGUUCAUAAAUACUGUAAAGACGAUAGAAACAUGUUCCUUUGGAAACAGAACAUCCAUCAAACCUUCAAAAACAAUUAUCGUCCUUGGAGAAACAGGUUCUGGUAAAUCCACCCUGAUCAACGGAAUGGUCAACUACAUCUUAGGCGUCCAGUGGGAGGAUGACUUCAGGUUCAAGGCAAUCCUUGAAGAAACAUCUAAAAGUCAAGCUGAAAGCCAGACGUCUGCUGUCAGUGUCUAUGAAAUGAACUACCAGGAUUGUUUCAAGGUCCCAUACUCCUUCACUGUAGUCGACACGCCGGGUUUUGGAGAUGCCAGAGGAAUUGAUCGGGACAAACAAAUCACUGAGCAGAUACGAGAAUGUUUUUCAUCUCCACAAGGGGUCCAGCACAUUAACGCAGUGUGCUUUGUAAUUCAGGCUUCCCAAGCUCGACUGACACACACUCAGAAGUACAUCUUUGACUCCAUUUUCUCAAUUUUUGGUAAAGACAUAACCAAUAACAUCCUGGUCCUGAUCACAUUUGCAGAUGGACAGCGUCCACCAGUUCUGAAUGCCAUCACAGACUCUAACAUACCGUUCCCCAAAGAUGACAGAGGGAGCCCUUUAUUUUUCAAAUUUAAUAAUUCAGCACUUUAUGCUAAUAAUGACGAGACUAAUACCAGUGAUGAUCAGAUGUUUGACAAAAUGUUUUGGGACAUGGGUGCAAAGAGCAUGGAGAGGUUUUUUAAGGGUUUAGAGAAGAUGGAUACUAAACGUUUGGAGACGGUAGUGGAAGGACUGCGGCUUCAAAUUAGUAAUGCACUGAGUAAACGUGAAGAAAUUACACAAACCCAUGACAUUUUAAAUAAACACAUUACUGAUAUUGAGAGCAACAAGGAUUUGGAGUAUGAAGUGGAUGUUACUGAUACAAAAACAGAGAACAUUGCAGGCACUGGGGAGUUCAUCACUAACUGUCAGAAAUGCAGCUUCACCUGUCAUUAUCCGUGUGGGUUACCAAAUGAUGAGGAUAAGAUCAGAUGUGCUGCUAUGAAGGACGGGGUCUGCACUGUUUGUCCUGGUAAGUGUGCGCGGAAUAUUCACUCCAACCAACACCACAGAUUCAUCUCUGAAGCUAAAACAGUCAAAAAGACGUUUGAUGAGCUUAAGAAGAAAUGUAAGAAGCACAAGGGGAAUUGAUGACAGCAGAACAACUGUCUGAGUGGUUUUGUCAUGAACUGGAGACUUUGAUAAAGCUGAAUCACAAACUCAGUAAGGAGUCUCGUGAAAGUAUAAAACGACUUGAAGAAAUCGCUCUCAGACGAAACUCGCUCUCCUCUCCAGAUUACAUUGAGCUCCUCAUUCAGGCUGAAAAACAAAAAGCAAAGCUGAGAUGGAUGGAGCGAGUAAAGGAACUGCAGGAAGUGAAGGAAAAGGCAGAAAUAAUAGCAAAUCUCAGCAGAAAUGAAGAACUCUCACCAAGUGUCGAAAAGAAAAGUCAAAAGAGAAAAUCGGCCGUGUCAAACUGCCAACAUAUUAAGAAACUUUUAAAGAGAUCUUUUGAAAAAAAUAAAAACUGAAUACUGAAUGAAUGUAUUUUGGACCUUUGUUAUCACUCAACUGAUGAAAUCUGUUAAGAGACUAUGAUUUUAUUAUGAAGUAAUCAAGAAUGUUAGAGCAUAUUUUAUUAAUCUCUCUGUUUAUUCUAACUACUUUGUUAAAUGCAUUUUUGGAAGAAAAGCACAGCAUUGAACUGUAACUUUGAUGAUUUUUAUUUUAUUGUAACUUCUGAUCUCUAUAAAAGUACAGUAACUUGUCUAACCACAAAAAGAGGAAAUGUUAGUAGUGACAGCAUACCAUGAAUUAAACUAGCAAAGUUGAAAGUUGACACCACAAAAAGGCAGUCUAGCAGGAUGAAAGUGAAGGACAAAGUGGCCAUUGCCCUUUCGCCUAGGCAUUUGGAUGGACCCAUGGCCUUUUAGGACAGCAGAUUGAAUCUAGAAAUUCAUCUGUACUUCCCAAGCUGCAUUCCUAAAUGAAUGGCUGAACGGCAGCUCGUACCAACACUUUGGUCAGCUCUGUUCUACAUCUGAUAACAAAAAGGUGUAAAUCAGAGCUGAGUGGGCACCUUGUAGAAACACCUUCAUACAAAAAGGCACCCAAAAUGACAUUCAUUGUAAGCUGAUCUGUGACUGGAUAUGAUGGACAAAAUAAGGCACCUAUAAGGCGACACUGGAGAUGUAUGUAGCUGAAAGCUGAUGAUCCACUCUUUUAUGGAUGAGAGGCCAUCAAUUCUCUGUGGAGCAACAAGCUCUCAAACUUCCUUUGUACUAGAAGCUAAUAUCCAUAAAGCCUCGGAGCUGGAUGAGUUGAAUGAGCUCCAAGAUCAACUCUGCCAAGCCAAGCUUUUGAUAAAAGACUGAGCUCAGUCUGAGAAGACUGAUUAGCUGCCAUAACUUCAAGAAGAGAACUUCAGUGCCUACACUCAUCUGCCAGAAAGUACCUUAAAACAAGCUGAGAAAGGCAGCAUCACACCACACCUCGGACAAAGGACCAUGUAGUUUUCAUGCUUCAUAAAAUGAGAUUAGAUGGAGUUGGUCUCGUGGACAGUGUAAGAAAGUUACUACUCAUCAAAUCUGAAAUACUGUUAAGACAUUGGAUGAGACGGCCAAGAGCAUCAUUGUUGAAAAGGCAAUAUAUUAUUUAUGUGUUGUAUCCCUUUAAUUAGUUGUCUUCCAUCUUUAUUUAUUAGUUAUUGUGAUUGGCCUGUGUUGAGUUGGAACUUGGCCAAUCACAGGGCUUCACUUUGAACCCUAUAGAUUGUUUAUUGGAGUCUGAGCAGUAGAGUAGGAGAUUCAUUUGUUAUAUGUGAAAGUUUGCGUAAUUAUUUAUAAAGUAAGUGGAAUUUAAUUGUUUGUCCUUAAAGUAUAUUGUUUGUGUUUAAAUUUAUAAUUUGGAUAUAUAUUUCAUACAGUUUCUAAAAUAUAGAUGUUUGAGGAAGCUAAAGUAUAGUUGAACAGAUGCUAUUUGGAGUUUCAUACAUAUUGUUUAUUAUAGAAUUACAGUAUUAUGGUUUCCUCAUAUAUAAUAUGUAUAUAUGUUCAGAAUAAUUACUUAUUUAAUUUGUGUAAAUGCUUUAUGGUUUAACGUUCUAGUAAUUUCCUGAUAUUGAUGUUAUCUUGAGUGUAGUAUGCCAUCUAAUGGAUAAAUGAAGUACAUGUUAAUGACUAAUGUUAACAUUGACAAGCUGUGGGUACAGAAACUGGGAUAGCUCAGUUAUGUUUAUUAUUUUAUUUAGACCAUACUUUCACAUUUGUAUAAUUUUGGAAGAAAUUAAUAAACAGCAUUUGGACAUCUUCAUCCAUCCCUGA